rnacentral:rRNA from 1 species
CCUACGGGUGACAGCAGUGAGGAAUAUUGGUCAAUGGGCGCGAGCCUGAACCAGCCAAGUAGCGUGAAGGAUGACUGCCCUACGGGUUGUAAACUUCUUUUAUAAAGGAAUAAAGUGAGGCACGUGUGCCGUCUUGUAUGUACUUUAUGAAUAAGGAUCGGCCAACCCCGUGCCAGCAGCCGCGGGAAUACGGAGGAUCGUAGCGUUUUCCGGAUUUAUUGGGUUUAAAGGGAGCGUAGAUGGGUUUUUAAGUCAGUUGUGAAAGUUUGGGGCUCAACCGUAAAAUUGCAAUUGAUACUGGCAGUCUUGAGUGCAGGAGAGGUAUGCGGAAUGCGUGGUGUAGCGGUGAAAUGCUUAGAUAUCACGAAGAACUCCGAUUGCGAAGGCAGCUUACU